CUGAAACUCAAAGGAAUUGACGGGGGCCCGCACAAGCGGUGGAGCAUGUGGUUUAAUUCGACGCAACGCGAAGAACCUUACCCAGGCUUGAACUGCAGAGGACACUCUACGAAAGUAGACUUCCGCAAGGACCUCUGUAGAGGUGCUGCAUGGCUGUCGUCAGCUCGUGUCGUGAGAUGUUGGGUUAAGUCCCGCAACGAGCGCAACCCUUGUCUUCUGUUGCCAUCGGGUCAAGCCGGGCACUCUGAAGAGACUGCCGGUGACAAACCGGAGGAAGGUGGGGAUGACGUCAAGUCAGCAUGGCCUUUAUGUCUGGGGCCACACACGUGCUACAAUGGCCGGUACAAACCGUCGCGAGCCCGCGAGGGGGAGCUAAUCGGAGAAAGCCGGUCUCAGUUCGGAUUGUAGGCUGCAACUCGCCUGCAUGAAGUUGGAAUCGCUAGUAAUCGCGGACCA
rnacentral:rRNA from 1 species